AUGGCUCAGAAUGGAACGUUGGCGGCGUGGAUUAGGCAUGCAAGUCGUACGCAUAGCUCGGCUAUGAGUGGCGCAAGGGUGAGUAAUGCGAAGGUAACCAACCCUGGUGUUGGGCAUAGCCGCGGGAAACUGCGGGUAAUUCCCAGCGACGUCACGAGAUGGCAUCAUCUUGUGACCAAAGGUGUGAUUCCGCUCUAGGACGGGCCUCGUGGUAUUAGGUAGUUGGUGAGGUAACGGCUCACCAAGCCGACGAUGCCUACCGGGUGUGAGAGCAUGACCCGGCACACUGGAACUGAGACACUGUCCAGACACCUACGGGUGGCUGCAGUCGAGAAUCUUCGGCAAUGGGCGAAAGCCUGACCGAGCGACACCACGUGAGGGAUUGAAGGCCUUCGGGUUGUAAACCUCUUUCGUAGAGGAGGAAGGGGCCGUGAAGAACGGUCUUUGACCUAUUCUAGGAAGAAGCUUGGGCUAAGUUCGUG
rnacentral:rRNA from 1 species